CAGGAUCUCGUUGUCUGGACAUCAUUGAAAAUGUGGGAGGUGCGGCACUCAUCAUUCAGACAGCAUGGCGACGGUGGGCUAUGCGGUGGCGUGUGUCUAAAGCGGCGACUGAUGCAGACGAACAAGCCUGGACACAGGCUCUUGACCACUUGCAGCUACUCACCAGGUGCAACUUGUCGAUGCACUGACUUCGCAUGCGGAUUCUGUGGCUUGAUUCUCCUCAACCGUCUUCAAGCGUUCCCUCGAAUGCACAUUCAAAUAAAAAGCCUGAGCCUACUUCCACUGCUGCAGCAUAAGUAGAAAAACUU